rnacentral:tRNA from 1 species
GGCCUGAUGGUCUAGUAGUAUGAUUCCUUGUUAGGGCUUUGAGCCAAUUUCGAGGAGGUCCCGGGUUCAAUUCCCGGUCAGGCCC